GGGGGAUUAGCUCAGUUGGUAGAGCGCGUGCUUAGCAUGCACGAGGUCGCCGGUUCGAUUCCGGCAUUCUCCA
rfam:Phaeodactylum tricornutum CCAP 1055/1 PHATR_bd_31x35 genomic scaffold, whole genome shotgun sequence.